rnacentral:lncRNA from 1 species
CGGUAAAUUCCAUAGGCGAAUCCAUACGAAGUAUUGAAAUGAUGGUGUGGCUGUAUGACGGCUGGCUUCCCAUGGAGUGACUGUGAUUGUUAAUAUAUCGUUCCUUAUUGGGGAACGAGAAUAGCUUUCUGACGACUUUUCUCAGUAGGAAAGAAAACGAUAUAACUUCCUGCACCAGCUUCGGCAAAUUGCAAAUCUGAGGGUCGGCCACCUAUCCGUUGUGCAAGCAGACCAGCUACAGCAAUCUGUGAGCAGUCGUUAUCACUUUCGUUGGCAGCGAUGGUUACUUUUGCUGCACGAUUCACUAAGCCAUCAGUAUCUACAUGGUCAGGAGUACAGGGGAUGAAGCAGUAAGUGUUGCUGGGACGAGAGGAAUUAGUGGUAAACAUGAUAACUACUAAGGGAUAACGAAAUAAUUGUAAUCUAUGAAAAUAUAAUGUGGAGUGAAAGAGAUUUUAAGUAAGGCAGAUUUUCAGCAAGGUAAGUAUGUAAGGACUGGACUAUUUAUAGAUGUUUGUAUAUUUGCAAUGUGCCAAAGCCUUCCCUAUCCUAUGAAAUUAGCAGGUAUAUGGGUGUGCCCAUUAACACUAGAGAUGUACAUGUGACCCCUACAACUGUCCCAUUCUAUUCUAUUACUGCAAAAGCAAAGCCUAUCCUAUGGAAGUGUUACCUAUAUGGGUGUGCCUAUUAACACUACAGAUGUACCUGUGAUCUCUACAACUGUUCCAUUCUAUGCUAUAGCUGCAACAGCAAUGCCAACCCUAUACAAGUGGGCACUACAUAUGUAUCGUAGCACAGUCAUAGAUAUUCUGCUUUUUUACUGCAAAGUGGGAAAGCUUUCUCUACCCUAUGGAAGUGGCAUGUAAGGCCUAGUAUAGAAAAGUGUACAUCUAGUAUAGAAAAGUGGGCACUACACAUGUACCGUGGCACACUUGUAAAUAUUUCUAUUUUUUUCUGCAAUGUGCCAAAACUUUUCCAACCCUAUGAAAUUGGCAGCUAUAUGGGUGUGCCCAUUACCAGUACAGCUGUUCGGCUGAGCUAUACAACUGUCCCAUUAUAUUCUAUAACUGCAAAAGCAAAGCCUACCCUAAAAAAGUGACUGCUAUAUGGGUGUGCCCAUUAACACUACUGUUGUACCUAUGAGCUCUACAACUGUUCCAAUCUAUUUUAUUACUGCAAAAGCAAAACCUAUCCUAUGGAAGUGUUACCUA